CGAAUCCUGAUGUGUUUGUCUAACUGCUAACACUACUUCACAGUUUUGACCGAACAUUAUUAAAUUGGGAGCCUAUAUUUUAUGGUGGCAAACAUGCCCCAGUGCAUGGGGACGUUUAAGACGAUAAAGCGGGCACCCACCUGCAAAUUGCGGGUUCAAAACAAAUGUUUCUUGGCAUUACGGCACAAUCGGGAUUCGU
rnacentral:other from 2 species